rnacentral:rRNA from 1 species
CAUUGUAAAGUGUGCUGGAGGUAUCAGAAGUGCGAAUGCUGACAUGAGUAACGACAAAGGGAGUGAAAAACUCCCUCGCCGGAAGACCAAGGGUUCCUGUCCAACGUUAAUCGGGGCAGGGUGAGUCGACCCCUAAGGCGAGGCCGAAAGGCGUAGUCGAUGGGAAACGGGUUAAUAUUCCCGUACUUCUUACUAUUGCGAUGGGGGGACGGAGAAGGCUAGGUGAGCCUGGCGACGGUUGUCCAGGUCCAAGUACGUAGGUGGAUGAAUUAGGCAAAUCCGGUUCAUCACUAACACUGAGAUACGAUGUCGAGCUACUACGGUAGCGAAGUCAUUGAUGCCAUGCUUCCGGGAAAAGCCUCUAAGCUUCAGAUAGUAAGAAAUCGUACCCCAAACCGACACAGGUGGUCAGGUAGAGAAUACCAAGGCGCUUGAGAGAACUCGGGUGAAGGAACUAGGCAAAAUGGUACCGUAACUUCGGGAGAAGGUACGCUCUUAACGGUGAAGUCCCUCGCGGAUGGAGCUGUCGAGAGUCGCAGAUACCAGGUGGCUGCAACUGUUUAUUAAAAACACAGCACUGUGCAAAAUCGAAAGAUGACGUAUAC